GAAAGAAUGGAGAGGCGGGGGCUGUAAAAAUGUGCACACUGACUUCGGGACAAGCGGCAGCAAGAGGAUGCCUCCAAGCCAGGGACCGUCCUACAUGUAGACUGUCAUGGGCCAAGCGUCUCUUGACAGCUCGGCCACUCCUUUGGACAGUCAUUCAGCGAGCACUCAGGAGCCAGACAGUCUGUGCCUGGAGUCUUGGUCCUAAGAAGGUGAAGAUGCCAUAUAGAGGGGCACAGAGGACUGGCUCGGGCCAUGUCGAGUACCAGCACUGGAGCCCCAUGGGAGUGGCAGAGCCUUCUGUGGGUGAGCCCCAGAGGAAUGACAAAGCUUGCUUGGAGUCUGAGUGUGAAUGUGGACAGCGUGUGAAGGAGAAGUGCGCCACGGCUCCCUCCUAUCCCACUCCCCAAGUUUGUGGCCUGAAGACUGCCCCCUACAGACUCCUACUCGACUACCUCAACCUGCCCCCUUGUCCAACUGUGUGAAAUAGCGCUCUGCCUUCCUGUGCAGCUCUGUAUAACAGCCCUGCCUCCUUGUCCAGCUGUGGGAAAUGAAGCUGCUUCUUCGAUCGGGCUGUCAAUAAUAAUAACCCUGCCUCCUGGAUUCGGUUGUAUAGAAUCACCUUCCUCACUGGUCAACUCCACAUAGGUGACUCCCCGAAUUUCUGGGGUGCUGCAGCAUCUCCAUCAGAGUCCGCUUCAUCCGAUCCCAGCUUUUACAUGCGGCGUGUCUGCAUGCUUGCCGUGUCUUCCUGCCCUCACCCCUUCAGUUAGCUCAACCCUAGAACCAGGCGAGGGAGACUCAACAAGAGAGCGUAUGAAGUGCCUGGACUACUCUAACUGCUGAAUGCACGGAUGGAUAUGGUUGGUGACAUGUUCCCUCUCUCCAAGAAAUGAUGUGCAGUACCCUGCUCCUGGCCGUCCUGAGACUCGAGGGGAACAACGCGGAUGUCAGUCUCGGCCAGUCGGAUUCCCUCUCCUAGAACACGGGGUGACUUACAGGUGUGGGUACCGAAGCUGACAGUGGUUUAAGAGCGGCUGUAGAAGAAUGGGAGACAAAGGCAGCUGAGCAGACGGGUGGAAAGAAGCAAUGUGUUCCAGGAAGCAAAGAGGCAAGCAUCCAGACAGACAGACAGACAGAAAUACACGGCAGCCUGGGAAGAAAGAAAAACAUGGCAGCCCGGGUCUGGGGAAAUGCUCAGGUUUGAGUUCAUCGACUAACCAUCUAAAAAUCCCACGUUGAUUUGAUUGACAGUCCAAUGGACGACACCUGGUGAGCACGAACCUGGAGCCGUGGGCUGAGCAAACUGUUGUCUGCUGCCCAGGAUGCAGCUGCCCCUGCAACAGACAAGCUCUGACAUCCUCUCCAUGGCAGAGCGGAGCCGUCUUAAUCAGCAACUGCUCUCGAGAGCACAGUGUGGGAGUCACAAUCCACCCAGCAGCCGAACAGGCACAGACGGCCUGGGAGCCCGACUGGGUCCUCAGGGGUUCAAGACGCAUCUAGGGAGGUGAAUGUGGCGCUAGCCUCCUCUUUCGUAGCCCGUGGGCCCAGCCACACGAGGCCACAGAUGGCCUGUGGUCCCCGAGAGGACCAGUUGGAACAAAUGGGCCCAGUGAUGGAAUCUCGGGCCCCCUGUGAAUACAGCUAUGCUAAUUAACAGAUCAGCAGCCAUGAGAGAGCGGGACGAAAGCUCCCACAUCUCACUGGAGAGGAGUUCCGUUAAGAUAACACAACAGGCGAGUUCUUACCUACUGAGCCCACACAGCUCCAAAUCCCGGAGAAAGGUCUUGUUUCUAAGGCCCUGUUACGAAACAUAGUAACGAGUGGCCAGGGAGGCAGAAUGAGUAUGUGGUGCGUGUUAAUGAGCAGCAUCAGCGAGCAAAACAGGGGUGUGGGGGAAAAGGGCUGGGGUGGGGGUAGG
rnacentral:sRNA from 1 species